GAUAAACGCUGGCGGCGUGCCUAACACAUGCAAGUCGAACGCCCUGGAGCAAUUCAGGGAGUGGCGGACGGGUGAGGAACACGUGGGUGAUCUGCCUUGAGGUGAGGAAUACCGGCGAGAAAUCGCCGACAAUACCGCAUAGGUUCGUAAGAACAAAGUCGCAAGACGCCUUGAGAUGAGCCUGCGUCCGAUUAGCCAGUUGGUGGGGUAAUGGCCUACCAAAGCAGCGAUCGGUAGCUGGUCUGAGAGGACGAUCAGCCACACUGGGAUUGAGAACGGCCCAGACUCCUACGGGGGGCAGCAGUGAGGAAUUUUCGUCAAUGGGGGCAACCCUGAACGAGCAACGCCGCGUGCAGGAAGAAGGUCUUCGGAUCGUAAACUGUCUUUUCUGGGGGAAGAGAAGUGGACCGGUACCCCAGGAAGAAGCCCCGGCUAACUACGUGCCAGCCGCCG
rnacentral:rRNA from 1 species